GACGAACGCUGGCGGCGUGCUUAACACAUGCAAGUCGAACGGAAAGGCGCUGCUUCUGGGGGGUGCUCGAGUGGCGAACGGGUGAGUAACACGUGAGUAACCUGCCCACGAAUAUGGGAUAACUUCAGGAAAGUGGGGCGAACACCGGAUAGGAGCUCCUGCUGCAUGGUGGGGGUUGGAAAGUUUGGGCGGUUGGGGAUGGACUCGCGGCUUACCAGCUGGGUGGUGGGGUAGUGGCUUACCAAGGCUUCGACGGGUAGACGGCAUGGGAGGGUGACCGGCCACCUUGCGCCUGAGAUACGGCCCAGACUCCUACGGGAGGCAGCAGUCGGGAAUAUUGCGCAAUGGGCCGAAGCCUGUUGCAGCAACGCCGCGUGCGGGAUGACGGCCUUCGAGUUGUAAACCGCUUUCGCCUGUGCCGAAGCGUGCGUGACGGUAAUUGGUCAAGAAGCACCGGCUAACUACGUG
rnacentral:rRNA from 1 species